AUUUCAAGCCUGCCCAUCUAAAGACUGGAGCUCUCCCAUCAGCUCCCUGGAUGCCCAGCCUGCCCACUGCAGAUCAGUCUCCGUAAUCGUAAAUCUUGUGUGAGGUGGAUUGGAAAUUGACAGACUCCAUUUCUGGUAACAGCAAUAGGAAACUGAGCUAUGGAAAGGACCAGGUCUGGUUACGGGUUAGAGCUCAAACUCUCAAUAUACUGAUCAUCCUUUUCUCAAAUGAUGUUGGAGAUGUUCUUCAGCUUUCUUGGAGAUGAAAGGCCUGGAAACUUCUAGAAGAAGCUCCAGAAAUGCCAUUUCAUGGUCCAAGAGAAGGUGAAGGUGCUCUCGCAUACAACUCCUGGUGGCAGCUGCCUUACCAAGAGAGUGACUUCCCCCAUGAGUUACCUCAUCCCAUCACACUUCAGAGAAUA